ensembl:lncRNA
CCGUUUAUUACAAAAGCUUUUGGAGACAAGGUGUCGCCGCACAAUGUCUAAGGAUCAACAGUCAAAACAUCAUUUUUAUACUUCUACUACGCCCAAAAGAUAGAGGCGUUAACUUACAAAGCAAGUGUGCCAUUGGCCCAAUCCCAGUUCUAUUCCUUAUAGGAUAACUGCAAGUAUCCCCUUGCCCCCCCUUGUGGUUUCUGUGUUGUCUGUCCGACUAUGUGUGUGUGUCUCUGACCUGUGAUCUGUUUCUCACAAGACAGACAUACUAAAUCUUUCUCUCCCCGGCAACCGCUUGAACAGGGUUUCCUAUUCUCCUACUUGCUCCUUCAGUUUCAGCUCAUAUUACAAACCAUUACUAUUUUGCUUCAUUGGUUACAACAGCUUAUAACAGUUCACUAACUUAUACAAUCAAUACAUCUACAAUUCCCCCUUUUGAUCUCUCCCCAGAGAGAUCACCCCUAUUCGCCAAGCUCCAGUUCUCCCGGGUCAUGCUGCUCCAGUAGAGGCAUCAGCAUCCCUGGUGGCGGUCCUGGAGCCUUCUCAAUGGCUGUAGAGAUCACUCUCAUGGUGUCCUCAGGUGGGGUCACGAACCUCUUCGCUGGGGGAAUGAAGACCCGAUGCCAACCUGGGAAACCUGUAACAACAUACAACACACAUCAUUAUUCCACCAAUGUCCAUGUACCACUUCAUGACCUUCAGCAACACCCACUCCGCCUGGGGCAGGUUCUGGUCCAGCGGGUGCAGGUCCCUCCGUUCUCCGACUCUGUUGGUGAAUUCUGAAACGAGAGCUCGCAAUUCAUCAAAAUACACUCUGUGGUCUUUGGGCCACUUUUCCCCUUCCGGGACCGCAGGCCCCGCGGCUGGUCCUGGAAACUGUCUCCCCGUCAGCAGCUCGUAUGGGGUGAACCCAGUGGUCUGAUUUAACGAGCAUCGAAUCGUCAUGAGUGCCAGUGGCAGUGCAUCUACCCAGUUCAAUUUAGUCUGUGCACAUAUCUUAGCCAACUUGUUUUUUUAAGUUUUGGUUUAUCCUUUCUACCUUUCCCUGGGACUGUGGAUGGUACACAGUGCCAAAAGCAUGUUUUAGUCCCAAUAAGCUCUCUACCUUCUGUAAAUCAGGAGACCUGCGUCCUUACCAGCUGUAGCUUUUCUUUUGACACCUUGAACCCUUUCUCAGCCAGUCUGGUGAGGACCGUCAUCGUAGCUUGGAUGCAAGCGGCCACCGUCGAGGCCGUCAGCAGCAGGUCAUCUACGUACUGGACCAAAGUUCCCCCUGUCGGCAGGCAGCAUCCCUGCAGCGCUUCUCUCAGUACCUGGUUGAAUAUACCAGGGGAAAGCGCGAACCCCUGUGGUAGUCUUGUGUACCGCCAUUGCCGACCCCUAUGUGUGAAAGCAAAAAUAUCACAAAGUUCCUCUGCUAGUGGGAGACAGAAAAAAGCGUUAGCCAGGUCAAUGCAGGUGAACCAUUUUUGAUCCGGGGUCAAAUUAGUGAGUGCUACAUACGGGUUAGGUACCGGUAUAGUGGGUGUGAGUAAAAUGUUGUUAAUAGCUCUGAGAUCUGGGCCAUACGGUAUUUCCCUGUCCCUUUCUUUUCUACCGGGAGGAUAGGCGUGUUCCACGCGGAACCUGACUCCUCCAACACCCCUGAGGGCCACAAACCAUGCAAUGUCACAUCCAACCCUUCCUCUGCCUCUGGUUUGUGUGGGUAUUGGGGCAGCCAUAUGGGCUCUCCCGGGCUGAUUUUAAAGGUGACCGGUGGGCAAUCGGUGAGCCCCACGUCCGUGGGACCCUUGGACCACAGUGAGACCAGUAACUCAUUAAGUCUGGCUGUGGCUACAGGGUGAUCCAUCUUUUCCCUCCCAUGAUCCCGAGUUAUCUCCCUUCGCUCUAAAUAUACCCAAUCCGUCCCUGGUGCCUCUAAACGAUACGUCUUACAGCUGGGUGAGUACCAUACGUUUGGCGCCUGAGUGAGUGUCCAAUCAGUGCAUUCGACCGCCCUUUUAACCAUGGGCCCCAGGUCUUUUGCUUGGUGUUUAGGAUGCAAGGCCAGUGACACAUGCGGGACGGACUCUUCCGCCAUCAUGUACCACUGAUCCUGCUCCUCUGUCAACUGUACAUCUGCCGCUACCCCUUCAGGGCCUACAUAUAUGAAUUUAGACCCGACAUGCCACGUGUCCCCACACACUACAUCCCCAAACCCCUCUCUAUACACCUCAUCGCCCUGCC